GAGUUUGAUCGUGGCUCAGAUUGAACGCUGGCGGCAGGCCUAACACAUGCAAGUCGGGCGGUAGAGAGAAGCUUGCUUCUCUUGAGAGCGGCGGACGGGUGAGUAAUGCCUAGGAAUCUGCCUGGUAGUGGGGGAUAACGCUCGGAAACGGACGCUAAUACCGCAUACGUCCUACGGGAGAAAGCAGGGGACCUUCGGGCCUUGCGCUAUCAGAUGAGCCUAGGUCGGAUUAGCUAGUUGGUGAGGUAAUGGCUCACCAAGGCGACGAUCCGUAACUGGUCUGAGAGGAUGAUCAGUCACACUGGAACUGAGACACGGUCCAGACUCCUACGGGAGGCAGCAGUGGGGAAUAUUGGACAAUGGGCGAAAGCCUGAUCCAGCCAUGCCGCGUGUGUGAAGAAGGUCUUCGGAUUGUAAAGCACUUUAAGUUGGAGGAAGGGCAGUAAAUUAAUACUUUGCUGUUUUGACGUUACCGACAGAAUAAGCACCGGCUAACUCUGUGCCAGCAGCC
rnacentral:rRNA from 1 species